rnacentral:rRNA from 1 species
CCUACGGGAGGCAGCAGUGAGGAAUAUUGGUCAAUGGGCUUACGCCUGAACCAGCCAAGUCGCGUGAGGGAAGACUGCCCUAUGGGUUGUAAACCUCUUUUGUCAGGGAGCAAUUGGCGCUACGUGUAGCGUUAUCGAGAGUACCUGAAGAAAAAGCAUCGGCUAACCCCGUGCCAGCAGCCGCGGUAAUACGGAGGAUGCGAGCGUUAUCCGGAUUUUUUGGGUUUAAAGGGUGCGUAGGCGGAAUGCCAAGUCAGCGGUAAAAUCGCGGGGCUCAACCUCGCUCCGCCGUUGAAACUGGCGUUCUUGAGUGGGCGAGAAGUAUGCGGAAUGCGUGGUGUAGCGGUGAAAUGCAUAGAUAUCACGCAGAACUCCGAUUGCGAAGGCAGCAUACCGGCGCCCAACUGACGCUGAAGCACGAAAGCGUGGGUAUCGAACAGGAUUAGAUACCCUUGUAGUC